CUAGUCGUAAACGAUGGAUACUAGGCGUUGUGAGUAUCGACCCUCACAGUGUCGUAGCUAACGCGUUAAGUAUCCCGCCUGGGGAGUACGCGCGCAAGCGUGAAACUCAAAGGAAUUGGCGGGGGCCCGCACAAGCGGUGGAGUAUGUGGUUUAAUUCGAUGCAACGCGAAGAACCUUACCAGGACUUGACAUGUCGCGAAUCUCAGGGAAACUUGAGAGUGCCUUCGGGAGCGCGAACACAGGUGGUGC
rnacentral:rRNA from 1 species